GAGCGGGUUUUGACAGAGGACGAGGGACUGUAGAUUGAUCACGGUGUGAGAAGAACAAUUCCUUUUUGAUUGCCCCAGAUAUUGGAUGAACUGAACUGGCAGAACAGUGCGUAAACUGAUUGAUGACCCUUGACCCUGAUCUACUUCCUGCUUCUCUUCUCCAAGAUACUAUCACUGGAUCCACCAAGUACACCCAGAGCGCUCUGCAGGUAUAAACCAGGUGGGUGACCCGUUUUGUAAUUGUGAUUUCGUUUUCAGGCCCAGGGCCGGCCCGCUCUUUAGGCAGGAUUAGGCGGAUGCCUAUGGCAGGAUUUUCUGAGUUAAACUGACCAGGAUGCACCUCCAUCAACACAUAAUUCUACCCCCAAAACAAUGACAAUUCCUCUCAACCAGUGACAUUUGGUCUUUUUGGGUGAGCGCUGACGCCGCCCUGUGAUAAGCAGUGCCCGCUUCGUCAAAGUCAGGGAGGCAAAAUAUUUAUCUUGUCCAUUCCCAGCGCGAAUCUCCAGGGUGCUGUUGUAGAGAUGCAUCGCUGUUGCGCUCCACCAACGUUCCAUCAACAAAAACAUUUAACAUAGAUCAUGUAGCAAAUAAAGCAAAGAGUAUGUGGCCUUUUCUGUAGCCUACAGGCCGGAGAUAAAAUGGAUGACAAUGUAAUGAGACGGAAACGUUUGCAUCAUGUAGGUUUCUCAGAUCAAAUUGCCUAACCUAAAUGGCACCCAGUCAAAUAAAAAAAAUGCGAUGACGUGUUAACAAACAGUAUAUCCUAAAA
rnacentral:lncRNA from 8 species